rnacentral:ncRNA from 1 species
GUAAAUACUAUGAAGAGAAGAGUAGUAAAGUAGAAAGUCUAAAGAGAGUUAACGUAUGGUGAAAGUUAAUGUCAAAGAAGCUUUAUGAAGAUGGUCUUGGAGUAGAACCUUUGAGCUUAAAUAAGUUAGAUGGUUACGGUAGCAACCGUUAUAUUGCAGAGUGAUGAUAGUCACUUAGUGAGUUUUUUAUCGUGAGAUAAAAAAGAAAUAGAGUGGUAACACGUAAAUAAGUUUAUUACGUCUCUAUA